AUGAACGCUGGCGGCGUGCCUAAUACAUGCACGUCGAGCGAACGGACGAGAAGCUUGCUUCUCUGAUGUUAGCGGCGGACGGGUGAGUAACACGUGGAUAACCUACCUAUAAGACUGGGAUAACUUCGGGAAACCGGAGCUAAUACCGGAUAAUAUUUUGAACCGCAUGGUUCAAAAGUGAAAGACGGUCUUGCUGUCACUUAUAGAUGGAUCCGCGCUGCAUUAGCUAGUUGGUAAGGUAACGGCUUACCAAGGCAACGAUGCAUAGCCGACCUGAGAGGGUGAUCGGCCACACUGGAACUGAGACACGGUCCAGACUCCUACGGGAGGCAGCAGUAGGGAAUCUUCCGGAAUGGGCGAAAGCCUGACGGAGCAACGCCGCGUGAGUGAUGAGGGUCUUCGGAUCGUAAAACUCUGUUAUUAGGGAAGAACAUAUGUGUAAGUAACUGUGCACAUCUUGACGGUACCUAAUCAGAAAGCCACGGCUAACUACGUG
rnacentral:rRNA from 1 species